rnacentral:snRNA from 1 species
AUAUAUAUAUACUAAAAUUGGAAUGAUACAGAGAAGAUUAACAUGGCCCCUGUGCAAGGAUAACAUGCAAAUUCAUGAAGCGUUCCGUAUUUUA